ACAGGGUGUUGAUAUCACAGCCUGGAAACAUAGCUAGCUCUACAUAAGAAGUUAUUACCCUGGCCUGUGCCUGUGGCGUUUCUGCAGCUAUAUUUUUGCAGUUUUAGCUAUCUAUUUAUCUAUCUAUCUCUCAACGAGCUAUUGAACUCAUGUUCUACUGUAGGUAAACUCGUCUGUGGCUAGCUAGUUAGCUAACAUUAGCUUCACUUUUCGCCACAAAACUAGCUAGUUAUAUGCCUAAACCGUGCAAAGAAAUCUUCGGGAACAAGACGCACAUUUUGACACUGACACCGUGUAGUGCAAACAUUGAGGGAGUAGAUAAGGGCUGGAUCGAUAGGAGGCCAUCUGGAACGUUGUCCAGCGCAGCCUCGAUCUCCUGAAGAGGCUAGCUCCACUUCAGCAGGUCAGGGCUGACCAGGAAGGAGGGUGCCCCUGGUGUGUGUGUCUGUUCCUUGGUGUGUGAUACCUGGUGUAUGCUAUUUGGUGUGUUACCUGGGGUGUGUGUUACCUAGUGUAUGUUAUCUGGUGUGUGUGUGUAUAAUCUGGUGUGUGUUACUUGGUAGGUUUGUGGCUGUUGUGACUUUUUUACGAAAAUAGUUUUUCAACCUUUUGAAACUUGUUUCACACACAGUGAAAUGAGAA